GAAGCAUUCAAGGGAAUAUGGAAAAAAUGGCAUCAAUAGAAUCAGAGAUUUAGAGUUAAAAAGGAUCUUGGGGGCCAUUGAGACCAACAUUUUAUAGACUGAGAGCCAGUGAGCCCUCAUUUUACAGAUGAGGAAACUGAGGCUGAAAGAACACAUGUGGUUUGUCCAGAUAUCUAAGGCUGGAUGUGAUUCAGGUAUUCCUAACUCUAAGUCCAGCAAUGUACCCCUCAGCUGCCCAAUAUGGAAUAAAGCAAAUUCAGACCAGCAAAACAAGAAUGGAAUGUCAUCCUGGAAAGGGACAAAGAACACAAUGUUCCUCCUUCUCCAGUUUGUUGGAAAUUCAAUUGGUUCUGCCUUGUUAUAUGCAAAGAGUUUUCCUAAAUUUCCUAGGAGAUGUGGGCCACUCAUAUAAUGAGCAUGAAAGAUCACCUAUAAACAGUUCACACACUCCAUUGGAGCCAAUGAAAGUAAAGACGUUAGAUGGAGGCCUUCAGCAAGCUGGACAGUGCCCUUCUGUGGAAGAUGUGAAUUAGGAUAUGGACGAGACCGGGACCAAGAGAGUCACCAAGGAGGAACAGGAGUGGAUGGAUUACAAUCCACAAUGAAGAAAUCUCUCCAUCAAUGAGAUGCACAGAUCUCAUGUGCAGAGGCAAGCUUAUGUGAAAAGGAAGAAAACAAACAUUUAUUAAGGCACCUACUAUAUGCCAGAUAAGAAAACAGGCCAAGAGAGAGGAAGAGAUUUGCCCAAGGACAACAUUGAGUUAGAACAAGAGCAGAAACUAGAACCCAGAUCUCUGGACUCUCCACCAUGAAAAGGAGGAAGGAGAUGGUUUUGGAGCUGAGGACAUCCUGCUAACAAAAGUGGUGGCAGGGAGGCCACAGGAUGAGGGAAAGUACCCACUUCAGGUCUACACAUGGAGAUGAUAGCAACAAUAAAAACUAUUGUUAUUCCAA